AUAUUUUGAAGUUAAAUUUAUCUCGAAAAUAUGAAGUUAUCACAAAUCCUUUCUGUUGGAUUGUUCUACCACUUCUAUUUGUGUACAUUAUCCAUAAUAGAUACAUUAAUCAAAAUAAGCAGUGUUAUUUGAAAAAAUGUCUCUAUAAAAAAAGAGCUAAAGAUAGAUACUGGUCUGUUCUUGUCGUGAAAACAACAAUGGUUUUUGAAACUUAAAUAAGGAGAGAAAACUCAGAUUUAAGUGAAGUGUGGGUCCUGUUAUUUACUGUCUUUAUUGGGGGUUAGGAGAGCUGAGAUUAAACUGUAAUGUUGCUUCAGGAAUGACUACCAACAAAGUUUUAAGUUGCUAUAAAUGAAGAAUAUUAUUUCAGUCAAAUGAUAGCCCCUUCCUGUUAUUCUUUAAAAUAAUUAUUUCCUUGUUUAUUAAAUAUCCUUAAAUUAUUUCAUUGCAAAGUGAGGGGAAGUCAUAUUGUAUUAGGAUAACCAAACAUUUUAACACUUUGAGCCUCUAAAUGGAUGAAGAAUGCCCAUUGCUUUUUAAACAAACCAAAACAAAAACAAAAAAAAGUUUAUCUUUGUUAAAAUAAGUGAUGCAUUUAUCUUCUUUCUUUACCUAUGGCAAUGUUCUGCUAACAUAGUAAUAAGCUGAGUUACUCUCUGGAUGUGGCAAUUAAUAGAAAUAAAUAUAUUACAGUGAAGCACAGAGAGGAUAUAUAAGCAAAAAAAAUAAAAACAUCAGAUUUAUGGAACUCUGGAUUAAGCUAAAAUUUAGAGUAUCUUCUUACAACCAAAUCCAGUGAUCAAGCUUAUAGUCUUUAAAACCUGUAACAAAGUAAAAACUUGAA
rnacentral:lncRNA from 1 species